GAAAGAGAGUAUAUAAGACUAAAAGGGGGACUGAUUUGCCAGUAAAAUUCUCGGUUACUCCUAUCAUAAGAAAACAGUUGGCAUCUGCUUCAGGGACAUUUCUAGGUGGAGUAAAUAUGAUGAAUGGAGGCAGAGGAGGUCUGAGGUCUCAGAGACAUUUACAAAGUGCAGAUGGAAACUCAAAGGUCUGGAUCUACUGUGCCUAUGUCAUCGUGUCAAAUGCUUGUGAAGAUUUAACUUAACAUUCAUGAAGUCCAUCUCUUGUACUCAUUUGCUUUUGAGCACUGUGGAGAAACUUGUAUUGCUACUUCAUUUUCUCAUUCUUCAGCUGUGAAAAUGAAGAAGAAUGUUAGGGAUCUACAGGUUUUUAAGGAGUUUGUGUUGUCCAUUUAAUUAAAGAAUCUUAUUAGCAUCUUAUUUUACAGAUGAAGAGAUUUAUGCAUUGAGCAGUCUGACCCUUUAUGCAGUGAAAGGGUCUGUCCCGGAAUAAAUUAUUGCCUAAUAUUUACAUGAUAAAACAUUUGGGGGAGCUGGAUUUCAGCCUGCAUAGCUAACCUCAUUAACGCUGGGAGCCAGCAUUAAGACCCCACUCCUGGAGGCUGGGCUAUAGGGCUUGAGGUUGCUGCUGGCCAUAAGAGGCUCCUGGGUGCCGUGCAGGAGGUAUGGCCUUUGGAGUCUGCUUUCAGCCAAGGGUCUUGCUUUGGUCCAAUUGCACUACACCUCCUGCUGCAU